rnacentral:rRNA from 1 species
UACGUAGGGGGCAAGCGUUAUCCGGAUUUACUGGGUGUAAAGGGAGCGUAGACGGUAGUGCAAGUCUGAUGUGAAAACCCGGGGCUCAGCUCCGGGAUUGCAUUGGAAACUGUAUAACUAGAGUGCAGGAGAGGUAAGUGGAAUUCCUAGUGUAGCGGUGAAAUGCGUAGAUAUUAGGAGGAACACCGGCGGCGAAGGCGGCUUACUGGACUGUAACUGACGUUGAGGCUCGAAAGCGUGGGGGGCAAAC